UCGAGAAUCUUCGGCAAUGGGCGCAAGCCUGACCGAGCGACGCCGCGUGGAGGACGAAGGCCUUCGGGUUGUAAACUCCUGUCGAGGGGGAGGAAGCCGCAAGGUUGACCGAUCCCUGGAGGAAGCACGGGCUAAGUUCGUGCCAGCAGCCGCGGUAAGACGAACCGUGCGAACGUUAUUCGGAAUCACUGGGCUUAAAGCGCGUGUAGGCGGGACGGCACGUCUGUCGCUGAAAUCCCCCGGCUCAACCGGGGAACGGGCGCGGAUACGACCGUCCUGGAGGGGCGUAGGGGGACCUGGAACUUCCGGUGGAGCGGUGAAAUGCGUUGAGAUCGGAAGGAACGCCCGUGGCGAAAGCGAGGUCCUGGACGCUUACUGACGCUGAGACGCGAAAGCCAGGGGAGCGAACGGGAUUAGAUACCCCCGUAGUCC
rnacentral:rRNA from 1 species